rnacentral:rRNA from 1 species
GGAGGGGGCAAGCGUUAUUCGGAAUCAUUGGGCGUAAAGGGCGCGUAGGCGGCUUGGCAAGUCAAAGGUGAAAUCCCUCGGCCCAACCGAGGAACUGCCUUUGAAACUGCUUGGCUUGAGGCCGGGAGAGGGUAGCGGAAUUCCCAGUGUAGCGGUGAAAUGCGUAGAUAUUGGGAGGAACACCAGAGGCGAAGGCGGCUACCUGGACCGGUUCUGACGCUGAGGCGCGAAAGCGUGGGGAGCAAACAGGAUUAGAUACCCUGGUAGUCCACGCCGUAAACGAUGGGUACUCGGUGUCGCGGGUAUCGACCCCUGCGGUGCCUUAGCUAACGCGUUAAGUACCCCGCCUGGGGAGUACGGUCGCAAGGCUG